CCUAACCAAAGAAAGUGAUAGUCUUGUAGUCGAAAAUUGAAACAAUCAAAUUGCAUCCCAAGUAGCAUGGAGCACGUGAAAUUCCGUGUGAAUCUGCGAGGACCACCUCGUAAGGCUAAAUAUUCCUGAAUGACCGAUAGUGAAACAGUACCGUGAGGGAAAGGUGAAAAGAACCCUGAAUAAGGGAGUGAAAUAGAACCUGAAACCAUACGCUUACAAGCGGUCGGAGCCCUUCUGGGGUGACGGCGUGCCUUUUGCAUAAUGAGCCUACGAGUUACCGUUGCUGGCAAGGUUAAGUGAUUAAGUCACGGAUCCGCAGCGAAAGCGAGUCUGAAUAGGGCGCUUUAGUCAGUAGCGGUAGACGCGAAACCGUGUGAUCUACCCAUGGGCAGGCUGAAGCUGUAG
rnacentral:rRNA from 13 species